rnacentral:lncRNA from 1 species
GGUGGAGAAUCCCUUUAAUGACAGGGAUCUGAUAAAGUGACUGGUCGACGGGUGUGUCCUGCCCGAAGUCAUCCAGAGGAUCAUUCGUGCCGAUCCCGAACAGUGGGUUUGGGACUCUCUGAGGUCCUUUCUCGAGGUAAGCAGAUUCACUUUUGUUCCUUCCCCUCGCUUCUUCAUUCAAAUAACUUCUCAGCUUUCAUUCUGACCUUCUGGCCACCCUUGCAG